AUUGAACGCUGGCGGAAUGCUUUACACAUGCAAGUCGAACGGCAGCACGGGGGCAACCCUGGUGGCGAGUGGCGAACGGGUGAGUAAUACAUCGGAACGUGCCCAGUCGUGGGGGAUAACGUAGCGAAAGCUACGCUAAUACCGCAUACGAUCUACGGAUGAAAGCGGGGGAUCGCAAGACCUCGCGCGAUUGGAGCGGCCGAUGGCAGAUUAGGUAGUUGGUGGGGGUAAAGGCUCACCAAGCCUUCGAUCUGUAGCUGGUCUGAGAGGACGACCAGCCACACUGGGACUGAGACACGGCCCCAGACUCUUACGGGAGGCAGCAGUGGGGAAUUUUGGACAAUGGGCGAAAGCCUGAUCCAGCCAUUCCGCGUGCAGGAUGAAGGCCCUCGGGUUGUAAACUGCUUUUGUACGGUACGAAACGGCCUUUUCUAAUACAGAGGGCUAAUGACGGUACCGUAAGAAUAAGCACCGGCUAACUACGUGCCAGCAGCCGCGGUAAAGUAUCG
rnacentral:rRNA from 1 species